CCUUUUCCCCCAAACCCAGAGCACCUGAGUUCUAUUGGAGUCUCCUCCCACCCCAGGUGUGACCACUUUACCCUCCCUGCCCACUCCCCUAUUUAAGCCACUCCAGGAAAGGCAGAAGCCUCAACCUUGCCCAACUGGGCAGAGGGAUCCUUCUCUCGUCACUCUGGACAGAAUUAUGUGUUACGCCUACAAGCAACACAAUUAUUAAUUACAGGGAUUAUUCACAGUAUCACAAAGGUAAACAGAGCUGAAACAAAUGGAAACAGGAUGUCAAAUUCAAACAGAAUGAAUAAAGAUUGUUGGAGUCCACAGUAUUCUGCAGUCCCUGUGGAACCUUCUGUUCUCUGCUUCUUUCAUCAUUACUGAAAUGCAGGUGGAACCACCUUUCAGAUGGCUUUCUAAUAUGAAGAUCAAGAAACACGGUGUAACUGAUCUGAACACCGAACAGUUUGCUGAAGGGGAACAGAGGAGUGACUUUGAAAGGGAUGGAAAAGAACUGCCAACAUUCAACAAAGUUGUGAGAUGAAGCUCACAAAUAUGUUUCCUUGGUCCUAAGAAGUGCUGGUGUAACACAAAAAUACAGCUGCCCGGUUUUCAAGA